GACGAACGCUGGCGGCGUGCUUAACACAUGCAAGUCGAACGGAAAGGCCCUGCUUUUGUGGGGUGCUCGAGUGGCGAACGGGUGAGUAACACGUGAGUAACCUGCCCUUGACUUUGGGGUAACUUCAGGAAACUUGGGCUAAUACCGGAUAGGAGCUCCUGCUGCAUGGUGUGCGUUGGACAGUUUCGGCGGUUGGGGAUGGACUCGCGGCUUAUCAGCUUGUUGGUGGGGUAGUGGCUUACCAAGGCUUUGACGGGUAGCCGGCCUGAGAGGGUGACCGGCCACAUUGGGACUGAGAUACGGCCCAGACUCCUACGGGAGGCAGCAGUGGGGAAUAUUGCACAAUGGGCGGAAGCCUGAUGCAGCAACGCCGCGUGCGGGAUGACGGCCUUCGGGUUGUAAACCGCUUUCGCCUGUGACGAAGCGUGAGUGACGGUAAUGGGUAAAGAAGCACCGGCUAACUACGUG
rnacentral:rRNA from 1 species